GGCGUGGCCAAGGCAGCGGGGGUUUAUGACAAAGUUGAGCGACCUCAUGUCACUCAAACCAGCUGUAUUAAGGAAGGUGCAAGCUUUUGGGAUUUCUGUUUGGAUUUAGUUUAGGUUCAAAAGAGCACGCACAGAUCCUGAGUGUUGUCAAGCACCCGUGACUGGGAAACGGAGGCGUCCGAUCCGUAUUGGAGUCAAUUCGCCACUUAAUUGGGAAGCAGUUGAUUGAGAAUAAUGGUUCUGUUUUGGAGGUUGAUGGAAGAUGCCCUUUGGCCAGGAAAACAGCUCAUGCUUUUAGAGGAGGAUAAUUGCCAGAAGGCCUCUCUGAAUAAAAAAAAAUCCUGACCUCACAGCCUUUGCGCUUACUUGGGUUAGAAUGCCACAGUGAACAUUGCCCCUUGUCAUCACGUAGAGGUGCUCACAGGUAAAGCAACACAAGGAGCAUAUAGGAUCACCUGCUGGAUCUUGUUUUUAACACCAGGGAGGAAAAUGGUGUCUUGGGUAAUGAACAUGCCUCAAGACUGAGCUGGCCAUCUUCAGUGUCAUCCAAACCCUCAGUGGCCCCUGAAAAACCCUUUGAAAAGAUUCAGCACGUUGCCAUGGAGAACAUCCCACUGAAGGAAUGUAUAGAAGUAGCAGGUGUCAGCUGCCUACCAGUUGCUUUCAUCUCUAGAAAUCUGUGACUUGCAGUAUGACAAGAACAAAAGGUGACAAUACAAAGGACAAAGGGCAAGGAAUACAGACGGAGAAGCCGCUUAGAGUCUAGGAUGGCAGAGGUUCUCUUGAUCAUUUCAUUUUUGAGCGCUUGUAGAGCUUUGGUGUACCAGAGGUGCUUGAACAGCUUACCACACCACAGAUGAAUGGCCUUUGGAUUUCUCCUAAGAAAAUGUGGCUACCUGAAAUUCAACUCCAUUUUCUGGUCUUCAAUAUUUCUUUUGUGUUCAGUUUGCCAGCUGAGGAGAAGUGGCUAAGCAUAGCCUGUUACUGAUGCUAAAGCCCAAGUUCUGAACCUAACAACUCCAGCAACAUGAUCCUGUUUCAAGAGACAAAAAAGUGACUAAUGAAAGAAAACAAUUGAUGUGCUAUGUAGAGUUUAAAAGAAGGUAAAGAGAAUAAAUUAAAAGCAACAACUCUCUUCUUGACAA
rnacentral:lncRNA from 1 species